UACGAAGGGGGCUAGCGUUGUUCGGAAUUACUGGGCGUAAAGCGUGCGCAGGCGGUUAUGUAAGACAGUUGUGAAAUCCCCGGGCUCAACCUGGGAACUGCAUCUGUGACUGCAUAGCUAGAGUACGGUAGAGGGGGAUGGAAUUCCGCGUGUAGCAGUGAAAUGCGUAGAUAUGCGGAGGAACACCGAUGGCGAAGGCAAUCCCCUGGACCUGUACUGACGCUCAUGCACGAAAAGCGUGGGGAGCAAACAGG
rnacentral:rRNA from 1 species